AGCGAACGCUGGCGGCAGGCCUAACACAUGCAAGUCGAACGAAGUCUUCGGACUUAGUGGCGGACGGGUGAGUAACCCGUGGGAACGUGCCUUUAGGUUCGGAAUAACCCAGGGAAACUUGUGCUAAUACCGAAUGUGCCCUUAGGGGGAAAGAUUUAUCGCCUUUAGAGCGGCCCGCGUCUGAUUAGCUAGUUGGUGGGGUAAUGGCCCACCAAGGCUACGAUCAGUAGCUGGUCUGAGAGGAUGACCAGCCACAUUGGGACUGAGACACGGCCCAAACUCCUACGGGAGGCAGCAGUGGGGAAUCUUGCGCAAUGGGCGAAAGCCUGACGCAGCCAUGCCGCGUGGAUGAUGAAGGUCUUAGGAUUGUAAAAUCCUUUCACCGGUGAAGAUAAUGACUGUAGCCGGAGAAGAAGCCCCGGCUAACUUCGUGCCAGCCGCCGCUGUAACAC
rnacentral:rRNA from 1 species